rnacentral:rRNA from 1 species
GAUUAAGUUAUUAAGGGCGCACGGUGGAUGCCUUGGCACUAGAAGCCGAUGAAGGACGUUACUAACGACGAUAUGCUUUGGGGAGCUGUAAGUAAGCUUUGAUCCAGAGAUUUCCGAAUGGGGAAACCCAGCAUGAGUUAUGUCAUGUUAUCGAUAUGUGAAUACAUAGCAUAUCAGAAGGCACACCCGGAGAACUGAAACAUCUUAGUACCCGGAGGAAGAGAAAGAAAAUUCGAUUCCCUUAGUAGCGGCGAGCGAAACGGGAAGAGCCCAAACCAACAAGCUUGCUUGUUGGGGUUGUAGGACACUCUAUACGGAGUUACAAAGGACGACAUUAGACGAAUCAUCUGGAAAGAUGAAUCAAAGAAGGUAAUAAUCCUGUAGUCGAAAAUGUUGUCUCUCUUGAGUGGAUCCUGAGUACGACGGAGCACGUGAAAUUCCGUCGGAAUCUGGGAGGACCAUCUCCUAAGGCUAAAUACUCUCUAGUGACCGAUAGUGAACCAGUACCGUGAGGGAAAGGUGAAAAGCACCCCGGAAGGGGAGUGAAAUAGAACCUGAAACCGUGUGCUUACAAGUAGUCAGAGCCCGUUAAUGGGUGAUGGCGUGCCUUUUGUAGAAUGAACCGGCGAGUUACGAUUUGAUGCAAGGUUAAGCAGUAAAUGUGGAGCCGUAGCGAAAGCGAGUCUGAAUAGGGCGUUUAGUAUUUGGUCGUAGACCCGAAACCAGGUGAUCUACCCUUGGUCAGGUUGAAGUUCAGGUAACACUGAAUGGAGGACCGAACCGACUUACGUUGAAAAGUGAGCGGAUGAACUGAGGGUAGCGGAGAAAUUCCAAUCGAACCUGGAGAUAGCUGGUUCUCUCCGAAAUAGCUUUAGGGCUAGCCUCAAGUGAUGAUUAUUGGAGGUAGAGCACUGUUUGGACGAGGGGCCCCUCUCGGGUUACCGAAUUCAGACAAACUCCGAAUGCCAAUUAAUUUAACUUGGGAGUCAGAACAUGGGUGAUAAGGUCCGUGUUCGAAAGGGAAACAGCCCAGACCACCAGCUAAGGUCCCAAAAUAUAUGUUAAGUGGAAAAGGAUGUGGCGUUGCCCAGACAACUAGGAUGUUGGCUUAGAAGCAGCCAUCAUUUAAAGAGUGCGUAAUAGCUCACUAGUCGAGUGACACUGCGCCGAAAAUGUACCGGGGCUAAACAUAUUACCGAAGCUGUGGAUUGUCCUUUGGACAAUGGUAGGAGAGCGUUCUAAGGGCGUUGAAGCAUGAUCGUAAGGACAUGUGGAGCGCUUAGAAGUGAGAAUGCCGGUGUGAGUAGCGAAAGACGGGUGAGAAUCCCGUCCACCGAUUGACUAAGGUUUCCAGAGGAAGGCUCGUCCGCUCUGGGUUAGUCGGGUCCUAAGCUGAGGCCGACAGGCGUAGGCGAUGGAUAACAGGUUGAUAUUCCUGUACCACCUAUAAUCGUUUUAAUCGAUGGGGGGACGCAGUAGGAUAGGCGAAGCGUGCGAUUGGAUUGCACGUCUAAGCAGUAAGGCUGAGUAUUAGGCAAAUCCGGUACUCGUUAAGGCUGAGCUGUGAUGGGGAGAAGACAUUGUGUCUUCGAGUCGUUG